UACGGGAGGCAGCAGUGGGGAAUAUUGGCACAAUGGGCGAAAGCCUGAUGCAGCUAUGCCGCGUGUAUGAAGAAGGCCUUAGGGUUGUAAAGUACUUUCAUCGGGGAGGAAAAAACAAAACUAAUAAUUUUAUUUCUUGACGUUACCCGAAAAAGAAGCACCGGCUAACUCCGUGCCAGCAGCCGCGGUAAUACGGAGGGUGCUAGCGUUAAUCAGAAUUACUGGGCGUAAAGAGCACGUAGGUGGUUUUUUUAAGUCAGAUGUGAAAUCCCUGGGCUUAACCUAGGAACUGCAUUUUGAAACUGAAAUACUAGAGUAUCGUAGAGGGAGGUAGAAUUCUAGGUGUAGCGGUGAAAUGCGUAGAUAUCUGGAGGAAUACCUGUGGCGAAAGCGGCCUCCUAAACGAAUACUGACACUGAGGUGCGAAAGCGUGGGGAGCAAACAGGGAUUAGAUACC
rnacentral:rRNA from 1 species